rnacentral:rRNA from 1 species
GACGAACGCUGGCGGCGUGCUUAACACAUGCAAGUCGAGCGGUAAGGCCCUUUCGGGGGUACGACGAGCGGCGAACGGGUGAGUAACACGUGGGUGACCUGCCCUCAGCUCUGGGAUAAGCCUGGGAAACCGGGUCUAAUACUGGAUAUGACUCCAUGACGCAUGUUGUGGGGUGGAAAGCCUUGUGCGGCUGAGGAUGGGCCCGCGGCCUAUCAGCUUGUUGGUGGGGUGANGGCCUACCAAGGCGACGACGGGUAGCCGGCCUGAGAGGG